UGCAGUCGAGCGGAUGACGGGAGCUUGCUCCUUGAUUCAGCGGCGGACGGGUGAGUAAUGCCUAGGAAUCUGCCUGGUAGUGGGGGACAACGUUUCGAAAGGAACGCUAAUACCGCAUACGUCCUACGGGAGAAAGCAGGGGACCUUCGGGCCUUGCGCUAUCAGAUGAGCCUAGGUCGGAUUAGCUAGUUGGUGGGGUAAUGGCUCACCAAGGCGACGAUCCGUAACUGGUCUGAGAGGAUGAUCAGUCACACUGGAACUGAGACACGGUCCAGACUCCUACGGGAGGCAGCAGUGGGGAAUAUUGGACAAUGGGCGAAAGCCUGAUCCAGCCAUGCCGCGUGUGUGAAGAAGGUCUUCGGAUUGUAAAGCACUUUAAGUUGGGAGGAAGGGCAGUAAGCGAAUACCUUGCUGUUUUGACGUUACCGACAGAAUAAGCACCGGCUAACUCUGUGCCA
rnacentral:rRNA from 1 species